rnacentral:rRNA from 1 species
UACGGAGGGGGCUAGCGUUGUUCGGAAUUACUGGGCGUAAAGCGCACGUAGGCGGCUUUGUAAGUUAGAGGUGAAAGCCUGGUGCUCAACACCAGAACUGCCUUUAAGACUGCAUCGCUUGAAUCAUGGAGAGGCGGGUGGAAUUCCGGUGUAGAGGUGAAAUUCGUAGAUAUUCGGAAGAACACCAGUGGCGAAGGCGGCCCGCUGGACAUGUAUUGACGCUGAGGUGCGAAAGCGUGGGGAGCAAACAGG